rnacentral:rRNA from 1 species
GAUGAACGCUGGCGGCGUGCCUAACACAUGCAAGUCGAGCGAAGGAUGAGGAGCUUGCUCCUCAUUACUUAGCGGCGGACGGGUGAGUAACGCGUGGGUAACCUGCCCUGUACAUCGGAAUAACAGUUAGAAAUGACUGCUAAUGCCGCAUAAGCCGACGAGAUGGCAUCUUUUGUCGGAAAAGAUUUAUCGGUACAGGAGGGACCCGCGUCUGAUUAGCUGGUUGGUGAGGUAACGGCCCACCAAGGCGACGAUCAGUAGCCGGCCUGAGAGGGUGAACGGCCACAUUGGGACUGAGACACGGCCCAAACUCC